GUGGCCAUAGCUCAAUUGGUUAGAGCGCCGCUCUGUGGAAGCGGAGGUUGCCGGUUCGAUCCCGGUUGGCCACCCCA
rnacentral:tRNA from 1 species